rnacentral:rRNA from 1 species
GAUGAACGCUGGCGGCGUGCCUAAUACAUGCAAGUCGAGCGAACAGACGAGGAGCUUGCUCCUCUGACGUUAGCGGCGGACGGGUGAGUAACACGUGGAUAACCUACCUAUAAGACUGGGAUAACUUCGGGAAACCGGAGCUAAUACCGGAUAAUAUAUUGAACCGCAUGGUUCAAUAGUGAAAGACGGUUUUGCUGUCACUUAUAGAUGGAUCCGCGCCGCAUUAGCUAGUUGGUAAGGUAACGGCUUACCAAGGCAACGAUGCGGAGCCGACCUGAGAGGGUGGUCCGCCACACUGGAACUGGGACACGGUCCAGACUCCUACGGGAGGCAGCAGUAGGGAAUCUUCCGCAAUGGGCGAAAGCCUGACGGAGCAACGCCGCGUGAGUGAUGAAGGUCUUCGGAUCGUAAAUCUCUGUUAUUAGGGAAGAACAAAUGUGUAAGUAACUAUGCACGUCUUGACGGUACCUAAUCAGAAAGCCACGGCUAACUACGUG